rnacentral:rRNA from 1 species
UCAGCGGCAGACGGGUGAGUAACGCGUGGGAACAUACCUUUUGGUUCGGAACAACACAGGGAAACUUGUGCUAAUACCGGAUAAGCCCUUACGGGGAAAGAUUUAUCGCCGAAAGAUUGGCCCGCGUCUGAUUAGCUAGUUGGUGAGGUAACGGCUCACCAAGGCGACGAUCAGUAGCUGGUCUGAGAGGAUGAUCAGCCACAUUGGGACUGAGACACGGCCCAAACUCCUACGGGAGGCAGCAGUGGGGAAUAUUGGACAAUGGGCGAAAGCCUGAUCCAGCCAUGCCGCGUGAGUGAUGAAGGCCCUAGGGUUGUAAAGCUCUUUUGUGCGGGAAGAUAAUGACGGUACCGCAAGAAUAAGCCCCGGCUAACUUCGUGCCAGCAGCCGCGGUAAUACGAAGGGGGCUAGCGUUGCUCGGAAUCACUGGGCGUAAAGGGUGCGUAGGCGGGUUUUUAAGUCAGAGGUGAAAUCCUGGAGCUCAACUCCAGA